GCCGUCAUAGCUCAGUUGGUUCAAGUUCUCGUGUGAGGUGGCUUUGCUUAUCUGGAGGGCUGUGGGUUCGAAUCCCACUGGCAGCG